rnacentral:rRNA from 1 species
UGGGGAAUUUUACGCAAUGGGGGAAACCCUGACGUAGCGACACCGCGUGAGCGAAGAAGCCCUUUGGGGUGUAAAGCUCUGUCAACAGGAACGAAACAAAUGACGGUACCUGUGGAGGAAGCAUCGGCUAACUACGUGCCAGCAGCCGCGGUAAGACGUAGGAUGCAAGCGUUGUCCGGAUUUAUUGGGCGUAAAGAGUUCGUAGGCGGUUUGUUAAGUCUGAUGUUAAAGACCGGGGCUCAACCUCGGAAAUGCAUUGGAUACUGGCAGACUGGAGUGCAGUAGAGGCUAGUGGAAUUCCCAGUGUAGCGGUGAAAUGCGUAGAUAUUGGGAAGAACACCGGUGGCGUAGGCGACUAGCUGGGCUGUAACUGACGCUGAGGAACGAAAGCCAGGGGGAGCAAAUGGGGAUUAGAUACCCCCAGUAGUCCUGGCCGUAAAACGAUGGAUACUAGGCGUAGUGGGGUAUCGACCCCCUGCUGUGCCGCAGCUAACGCGAUAAGUAUCCCGCCUGAGUAGUACGGCCGCAAGGUUGAAACUCAAAGGAAUUGACGGGGUCAUAGCUGUUUCCU